GCUUCACAUGGGGAAGCACAUAUUGAAGCCGGUUUCUGUCAACGCGAUGCGCCCUGUCCACUCGAUAUCACUGGAGGGUUCAAAAUUGUGAAGACAGAGAAGCCGCUGCACGAGUUCAAAAGUUAUCUAUCCACGUCCAAUUUCAUCGCAGACACUGCGUCAUUCCGGCUGUUGGGCGUGCCCCUCGAGAGCUACGAUUCUUUAACGUUAGGUGAAAUUGUAGCUGACGUGUCUGAUUGUCUGAUAUGUACGGACCGAGUGUACGAUCAUGGUUGGGCAUCUAUUGAUUGUGAACAGAUCAAAUGUCCAGAUAAAUUGGCGGGUGGAUUUCGUGCGUUGCCGGCUGGAUUAGAAACCAGCAAUGAAAGACUGGUGGAAUACUGUUAUUUAACUAGAGACGAGGGCAUCUUAAACUUCUUGUGCAGAAUAUACAUCACGGGGUUAAACUGACAGUCAGUCAUCGCACAUUUGUGUUUCAAUUGCAUGCAAUACAUGCAUAGUACGUAGGCGAAACUAAAACUCAAACUAGAUUUGAUAAUUGACACAAACAGGAUUUGUGAUACAAUUUAGCAAGAAAGGCAAUAUUGUCGACGAUAUUUUCAUAAAAAAGGUUAUAUUAAAACAAAUACAAAAGAAACUAGAAUCAUUCAGAAUAAAAUGAAUUAGAAAUUGAGACUAAAUACAUGUAGUUAUUACA